ACGGUCUUGUUGUAUUUCUUGGAAAGCUCUUGUUGGUAGGUUGCAAAGUGAAUUAACGCCCGUUCCCUUCUUUCUUCAACUAGGUCCAUUUCCAGGGCUAUAGCUUCGCUGCUCAAGUCUGGCUCAAAACUUUUAGAUCGGAUGGUUAGCAUGCCGAUUUCCAAUGGUAUGACUGCCUCCAUGCCAUAAGCCAAGGCGAAUGGAGUUUCCCCAGUCAAGCGUCUUGGUGUAGUGCAGUAUGUCCAGAGCACAUUGAAGAAUUCCUCAGCCCACCUCCCUU
rnacentral:sRNA from 1 species